rnacentral:tRNA from 1 species
GGUGGGUUGGCUCAGUGGUUAGAGCUCAGAUCUCGUAAUCGAAAGGUCACGGGAUCGAAUCCCGCUAGAGGCUC